rnacentral:rRNA from 1 species
GCGGCGGACGGGUGAGUAAUGCCUAGGAAUCUGCCCGAUAGUGGGGGACAACGUUUCGAAAGGAACGCUAAUACCGCAUACGUCCUACGGGAGAAAGUGGGGGAUCUUCGGACCUCACGCUAUCGGAUGAGCCUAGGUCGGAUUAGCUAGUUGGUGAGGUAAUGGCUCACCAAGGCGACGAUCCGUAACUGGUCUGAGAGGAUGAUCAGUCACACUGGAACUGAGACACGGUCCAGACACCUACGGGAGGCAGCAGUGGGGAAUAUUGGACAAUGGGCGAAAGCCUGAUCCAGCCAUGCCGCGUGUGUGAAGAAGGUCUUCGGAUUGUAAAGCACUUUAAGUUGGGAGGAAGGGCUGUCGGCUAAUACCCUGCAGUUUUGACGUUACCAACAGAAUAAGCACCGGCUAACUUCGUGCCAGCAGCCGCGGUAAUACGAAGGGUGCAAGCGUUAAUCGGAAUUACUGGGCGUAAAGCGCGCGUAGGUGGUUCAGCAAGUUGGAUGUGAAAGCCCCGGGCUCAACCUGGGAACUGCAUCCAAAACUACUGGGCUAGAGUAUGGUAGAGGGUGGUGGAAUUUCCUGUGUAGCGGUGAAAUGCGUAGAUAUAGGAAGGAACACCAGUGGCGAAGGCGACCACCUGGACUAAUACUGACACUGAGGUGCGAAAGCGUGGGGAGCAAACAGGAUUAGAUACCCUGGUAGUCCACGCCGUAAACGAUGUCAACUAGUUGUUGGGUUCCUUGAGGACUUAGUAACGAAGCUAACGCGAUAAGUUGACCGCCUGGGGAGUACGGCCGCAAGGUUAAAACUCAAAUGAAUUGACGGGGG